CUAAGCUUCAGUAAUCUUCAGGAACGAGGCUCUAGGAUAAGAAUGUCCUAAGUAAUUAGUGAGUGAGGCCUGUUAGUGCUGAUCCAGGUCACAUAGUUCAGUUCUGCAAAAACAUUACCAAAUUGCCCUGCUGCUGGAAGUUCAGCAGCAAUGCAGAAGAGCAGCUCUGCCCUAGCCUGUGCGAGCUAUCCCAAGGGUCAGUGGGAAGGAGAAGGGAAAAUCUGCUCCUAGCAGAAUCCUGCCUGUCCCUUGCUGAGCUGGGGCUGUGAGCUCUGCCUGUGGCAUUCCCCAGCACGCAGCAGCCAGACGGGCUCAGCCCGAGCCUUGCCAUUAGGUGGUGGUCUAGAACAACGAGAAGAGAAUGCAGAUUGAGAUGUUCAGAGCAGCACUAGGAACUUGGCUGCAACUCUUCAGUGUAAUGGGGGCUCUUUUUUCUGUAGGGAUUAGGGAAAGCAAAUAUUUUAGCAUUAACUCUUUUUUUCUUCCUCAUCUCAAAUUAUUAUUGGUGAGAUGUGCUACAUCUUCAUAUCAUUUCCUGACACAUGCAACAUCAAAACCACCCACAUCUUAAGUUCUGUUACAACUUCAUAGUCUCUUUUUGUUCUGUAUUGACACAUCUGCUGGAAGAAUUGCAUCCUGAGGACACUGACAGGAUGUAAUGCUUUCCCAGUGUAGAGAUCUGACAGAUCUUAUUAUAGUGGUCAGGGACACUAGGAGAAAUUUCCAUUCCAGUUUAUAAAUAAUGUGUUAAUUUAAAUACAGGAAUUGCUUAGAACUGGUGUUUAGGAAGUUGGUAGGAAUGGGCAAGUAAUGAAGAAGAUAAAAAUCAUAGAAGCGGUACUUUGAUGAACCUACCAAAGCCCUAUGUUGCUGAUUUAUAACUAGUUUGGUUUUUUUUCCUACUUCUUAGUAUAAACAUUUUCAAAUACUUGGAUAGGGAAGUCAUCCCUCCUAAUCAUAUACCACUGAUUUGUGACUUUCUGCCAGUAACAGGCAAGCAGUCUGCAGUCUUGCUGGAGCCUGAUUGUAGCCAUUUUUUAAAAAGACGUGCUCAAAUCUAGACUAAGUGCAGAUGAAAAUGGUGUUUUCCUUACCUUUUGGAGCUGUAAUUGCAGAGGAUUUUGUGGGCUGUAGCUGCUCACUUUAUGGAGCCUGUGCUGUCAGCAGCUGAAGAACAUUGUCAGUGUUACAAAAUUUGGAGCUGUUACUGAUUUUCCACUAAAGAACUGCAAUGAUUUAACACAGGUAGACACACUUUCUUUUUCUGUAGGUUCCACUGUGAUUCCCAUUUUCCUAGUGUCUGUUCAAGCAAUUCAGUGUAUUCAGUCCUACCCAGUGCUAGCAGGCCUCCAUUGAUGACAGUGCUGGACAGUAAACACAAAUAAUUAUUUCAGUACCAUUCAGCCAGAGAUGGUGCUCAGUGUGUCAGGUGUUCGUUUUAAAUCCCUUUCUCACUUUGUUAGACCCUACUGUAAAAGCAGCUCAGGAUUUUUUAUGGCAGAGUUGUCAGUGCUGUGACCAGCAUUUUUUGGGUUCAGUAGAAGACAGGUUUGAUGAGAUGUAUGAGGUGUUCACAACAAUCCUUUUUCAUCAAUGCUGUGAUCUCAGGUCUUCAGGGAUUAUUAGCCACUGGCAUUGAUACAGAUAAAAAUCUUUUCACUGCAGUCUGUAGACUUCCUAUCCUUUUCUCUGUGGUUUUUCUGUGCAUUGCCAGUGUAAAUCAGUCUGCAGCUGUCAGAAAUGCUUGUCUCGUUGAUGUUUUCAUGAUAGUUUGAAACAGGAACUGAAGGCAGACAAACCAGUUAGUAGGGGUGAGCAUCAUCAUGCUCUGGCACAAAGUUGCUGUUCAUGUCUCUUGUUUCUGCGAGAUGAUACUUGAGCGAUGUCCCAAUAAUUCUUACAACACUUGGGUUUUAAGAAGCUCUAAUUUUCUAUAUAAUGUGUUUUUGUAAAAAAAAAAAAAAGCAAACCCAUAAUAAUGCAAUAUUGUAUCAAAGUGCAGUAAAGUAUCAAAAGCCCAUAAAUCCUUUUGGAAGUGCUGGACCCAAAACUGAAAAAGCAUAUUUUACUUACAACAACUCCCAGUAAGGAAAGCAAUAGACUAAAAGCCUGUGGCUAAAACAGAACAAAACCACACUUUAUAGGUCUGGUGCUGGUGUAGAGAAAAUCACUAAUGUAUCAAGAUUUUGGUAUCCCUCCCCACAGUAACCUGUAACUAACUUGAUGCUCAUCUUCUGUUCCUAUGAGCCCUUUCUGCUUAUAGGUAUGCUUAUUGCUUAUGCUCAGCAAACCCUUACCAUCCUUGGGGCAUUCCCUCAAGACAGUGGCCACCUUCUGCCUCAGACACAUGGAGGGGCAGCAGUAACAAUAGGUACAAAUAAUACAAAAGAAACUUCAACUUAAUCUAGUCUUAGAUACUGUUCCCAUUUUCUUAUUGCUUCCCAGAGAGGUACAGACUAAUCCUGCUGUGCCCAGCUUGCCUGCCAGGCCAGCAGGUAGAGACUGCCUUCAGGUUCCUGAAAAGUCCACAGCACACUCUGUACUGAAUGUUGUGGUUUAACCCCCUCAGGCACCUCAGCCCACAGCUGCUCAUUCAUUCACCUCCCUUGGAGGGAUGAGGGGGAGAACUGGAAAAGUAGAAGUGAGAAAACUCUAGGAACAAGGUAAAGACAAUUGAACAGAUAAAAGCUGCACACACAGGCAAAGGAAACUAAACCCAAGAAUUCAUUCACCACUUCCUCAUGGGCCAGCCAGCUAUGUCCAGGACAGCAGGGCUCCAUCACACCUAAUGGUGACUUCAGGAAGACAAACAUCAUCAAUCAGAAUGUUCCCCCUUCUUCCUUCCCCCAGCUUUAUACACUGAGCAUGACCUCUUACAGCCUGGAAUAUCCCUUGGGCCAGGAGGAGUCAGCUGUCCCAGCUCCUGGGGCAGCCUCAGCCUCCUCCCCAGUGAGAGGCUGUGAGAAGCAGAAAAGGCCUUGACACUGCAAGCCCCACUCAGCAAUAACAGAAACAUUCCUUGUUAUCAACACUGUUCUCAGCACAAAGCUGAAACAACAGCCCUGGACUGGUUACUGUGAGGAAAUUAUCUCUACCCCAGCCAAAACCAGCACCUUGAGACUCUAAAGUUUCCUAGUGUGCUUUUGAGUGAUCCAUUUGUUCCCCUCAGGAAUAAUAUGAAUAGUGUGUGUGAGAUUAUGACAGCUAUGUAUACAUGGUUAGCUUUAAUCAAGCUUUAAGAUAAAGCAGUAGUUGCUUAGAAUUUUAGGCUUAAAAAGUGGAGUAAAUGUGACCAGAGAACGCAGCAGCAUGCCUCUAUUUAUGGCUCCUCUGGAACUGUGUCUGUCUUGGCUAAGUUGGCAUCAUGAGCCAGUCCCACAGAAAUCAUCCUUGUACAGAUUUGACAUGAAAUCUUCCUGAAUUUGCACCUUUCCUGGCUCUGCUUCCUAAGUCUGACUGCUGAUGUCCCUCAGAGCAGCCAUCAUGGACAGGCCAGGUCUUCUCCCGUCUCACCUCCCUGCCCUUGCACCAAGACAUCACUAGAUAAAGCAGAAAGGUCUUCACAGCUUGAGGAUUCCCUGUUUAAAUACCCAUUUUGCUAAACUCUGGGGGAGGAAGCUGAUCCUGAUCCAAGGUCAGUGGGAGCAGAGUCAUGCUGAGGCAAAGGGUCAGGAGCAGCUAUUUGUCAAAGGAACAAGCCCGUGUCCCUGGGGAAGGGAUUUUUCUGCAUUUAAAUUCACUAAAACCAGAGUCAGAAGGAGCUUUCAGAAGCAAGGACUGAUUUGUGGAAGAAUGAGAGCAUCCUGAUCUUGGCCUGGGAGCUCUUGUUGGUCACGGAGACAAGCUGUAACUUCUAAGGAGUGACAAACUGCUAGAUUACAGCUCCCUCUUAACUCUGCAACUCACCUUUCAAAUCAAAUCACUUCAUGUUGGAGUAUCUCAGCAUACAGAGGCCAAGGAGACGAGGUUACCUCUGGAAAGUGUGCUCACAGCCUGGCUUCCAGAGGUGCUGAAGGCAUUUCCCUUGCAGCCCAUGUCCUCUCCUCUGAGCCAUGGAGGUUGCCACAUCCAGUUAUGUUGUUCAUAAACAAAUAAAACAGGCAAGUGUCACCCUUCUGCUUUUUAA